rnacentral:lncRNA from 1 species
UCUCUUCCCUUGUCAUUCUCCAUCUCCUCUCUCGCCUCUCCAUCUCUCCCUCGAUUCCCUCUAUCCUUCUCAAUUCCCCCAUUCUUUCUCUACAAAUAAAGUCCUCCCAAUGAUACACCUUUAGGACUGUUGCCAUUAUUGCUAGUGAUGGAUCCCAGUUAUCGACGAAAAGUUGCUCAUGAGAAACCCUAAUUUGUAAAUUUGAUGGACUAUGAUGCAAAUCAGUUGGGGCUUUUUAUGCUAAUGCAUUGCUGGUAGGAUUAUGAACAAAAUUCCUAAUCCAAUAUAAAUUUUCAACAACUCCGGCGACGCCGCCGCCUUGGCAAAAACUUAAAGAAAGAGAUGUUGACAAAAGCUUCAUGUUUUUUCUUCUUUUCUUCGAUCUACUCUAAAAAAAGAAUUAAUUGAGAAAUCAGCCAUGGGAAAGAUAGUUGUUGCAUUUGUUGUUUUGGUAGAUUUUGUGGGGGUUGGGGGUAGUUAAUUGAGGAAUUCUUGAAGUGGAUUUAAGGGGUUUUUAUUCUUUCUUUGGUGUUGGUGAAUCCGGUUCUUCAAUUUUGAUUGCCAUUGUAGAGUUGAGAGGCACCAGCAAGAAGAUUAUUCCUGAAAAACACUAUUUUUUUCUUUUGUUACACAAUUUCUGGCAGUUCUUGAAGCUUUUCAUUCAACUGUUUGAUUGUCUGUGUUUGAGCUUUGGUGGUUGUUGAAGAUGAUGAUGAUCUUAGGAUUACUCAAUUUGUAACAGCUGGUGAUUAGAUUCUUGUUGUUUGUUUGGAAAAAUUGAGAAGUAGGAAUCGAAGAAGAAAGAUUCUUGUGUUGAUUCUUGUUGUUUGUUUGAAAAAAAUUGAGAAGUGAGAAUCGGAGAAGAAAGCAAACCACAUCAUUUUUUUGUUUGUUUCUUGUUUAUUCUUCAUCUUCAUCUUCUGAUUCUUGUUG